AUGUACAUUCCUACACCAUAGCGUUAAUGCAUUGGAUCCCAUUAGAACUUCUCAGUUAAGCGCAUUGAGGAUAGAGUAGUACUGGGAUGGGUGAGCACCCGGGAAGUCCUAGUGUUUUACAUG
rnacentral:rRNA from 1 species